CAAUGGUUUGAUUUGCCUUGAACACUGUGCCUGGAACCCUAAAAUGGGGACAGGGAAGGACCUUCCUUCUCCAAGGAAUUUUUCCUAUUUCCAAGGAAACAGGGAUGUAAACAUAAAACACAGCAGCUCAGUGAUGGGCACCCGAUGCUGUCUGCUCUGCAGAGACUCCUGAGGCCAGCAACACCCACCUUUCUUCAUUGUUGGUUCCUUACUGUACUGGGCUAGAGGAAGGUGCUGGUAGAGCAUCUCUGGAACUGUGACACGUGGAGAGAUGAGAAGCUAAAGAACAUGACUGGAGCACAGUCCAGACCCAGACAUCUUUAUCUUUAUUGAGUCCUGAUGAAGUUUGGCUAUUAUAAAUCCUGAUUGAGUGCCAUGAUGUUUUCCAAGCAAAUGGGACCACUUUGUAAAAAGCAAAAGCAGCCUGUCACCAUGUGGAAGAGGAGGAGGUGUCGAUGGAGAGCAGCCACCAGCAUUUUCAGAAAGCGACAUGAUGUAACAGCCACUCUACACCGCCUCAUUUGUGCUGGAAAUUUUUAAAUAGAGAAAAAUAAUCCUGUACCAUUAGCAUAGCAACAAGUAUGUUCUUCGCAUAAUAAACUUGGUUCCAGGGAAGCACUGGGCUCCAUUUUGCUUGCCCUUCUGUCUCACCUUUCAUUGCCAAUGCCAUUGCUGUCCUAAUGGAAAGACAGCCUUUGAGAGAACCCUGCUGAUUUCUUGGCUGCCUGUUGGCAACAGAGGAGA
rnacentral:lncRNA from 1 species